UUGAACGUAAAGUCACUUUUUCUGAUUCAAACCAGGAGCUCAAAAGUUUUUCUCUUCACAUAACUGACCUGCAAAGUUUAAAAAGUCGAGCAUAUCCAUUAAUCGUAAAAAGCUACGAGUUGCACCUCCUGAAGGUCGCCUUUUUAAAAUUUUCUUUAAACGGCACUAACUUUGCACAAAGAUGUUUUUUGGGAACAAGGCCCCAUUUUUUGUGUGUUUUUAUGUAGGUUUUGGCCCAGCCGACUCUGGGUGAGUAAUGGCAGCGGUGCAUUAGGCAAGAGAGGGAGAGAGAGAUGUGUGACAGCCUGAGUUGUGAGUCAACAUCAGAGGUCUUAGGCUGACCCCACAGGGGAUUACACACUCUGAUUUAAGAGCAUCUCUCCAGCUCCUCUCCUCCUCUCUGAACAACACACAGCACCCGACCGAUGCAGCAUUAUGUCCACGAACACACAUGCACAGGCUCUUGUGCAUGCUCACACGCACUCACAGAAUCGUUCUCGUUAUGCCCUUAUUCUUAGCUGCUCUCCAUCUUGUGUUGCAGGGUCGAGCAGAGCAGGGUCCUAUCAGGGUUUGUAUCCAGAGAGGGAGAGAGAGAUGUGAGCCCCUGCAGUGGUAAGUAAAUACAGCCUAAUGGCCUCUGAUUAAUUCUACAUGGCUCUCAUCGGGGCCAGUAAAAAGAGAUGUAAUGACCUGCAUCUCUUUCCUUCUCUCUCACUUUCCCCCCCUCUCUCUCUCUCUUUCUCAAUUUCUCCCUCAUUUGCUCGGCUUUUGAUUAUGAAUUAAAAGGGAUUGCAAAUGGUACGCUGUUGGUUGGCCCCCUGAUUGCCAUAUUUGAUUAAGAAAUGUCAGUGUGCAUGUUUCCCAUGGCUGUCUUUUUUUAGCCUCUCUGCUCGCUGUAACGUUCACACACGAGCGAGGAAACACAAUGGCUCCACGGCUCUCAGACAGACUGCGGCGAACAGCAAAACUUGUGCUAAUCAAACGCAUUCUUCCGUCUUCCCUUUCCCUCAUUUUUUGCCUUUUCAACACUGGCUGGGUUUUUGUAUCAGCUGUGAGACACAGCAACAAGAGAGAAAUCACAGAAAAUUAAAGAGCUUUGAGAAAAGACAGGUAAAGCAGAGAAAGAAGAUGGGAACAAGUGACGGGGAUAUGUGCUUUUUUCUGAGGGUUUAAAUCAGGGCAGACGAAGGCCUGUGUCCUUUUGUCUGUAAGUUGAUUUCAAUUCUUCUUCAACGGAAACUUCUGGAAGUUGUUCACGAAGAAGUCAGCUUUCUUCUGUUAGACUGAGUACAUACAUAUAAGUAUACUUGAGCAGAUUUCUGACUAUUUUUAGCAUAAAAGCAUCAGUGAUCUUAUCAUGUUCACAAAGGCUGCCUGUUAUACAGCUUCUUCUUUCAAAGGAUGAACUAACUGAAGGCCUUCGUACUUAAAAAGCUUUCUGUUUGCUUCCUGCUUUCACAACUUCAUCUAAGAAAAAGAGAAACAUCGUACACCUAGUCAAAGUGUAAGACCAAUUUCAGGUUCAUUAACAUGAGUGAUCAUGACUGAUCUUUCAAUAAAUGAUUGACUCUGAGUUGCCUGACAACAUGUAGGAGCAUUGGUUCCCAAACUGGUGUCCAGGGCGCAAUACGUUUUUUUUUUUUUUUUUUGUAGGGCGGUAGGGGAAAGUCCCGACUCCUUCGCCUCUGAUUGGCUAGAAAAGCUGGAAAUGUCAUCACACGUUCAAGCCAAACACGGGCUGUCGGCUCUGUACAUCAAACAGAACUUUACAGAACAUUAUCACACCUCUGAAUCUCCUAACCCUAACUCUAACCCCUAACCUAACCCUGACCCUAACCUGACUGAAGAUGACGUUUCACAGCCUUAGCAAUAACCAAUUGGAGCCCAGCACUUCUAGCCAGAGGUGAAGGAAGGCAGGCCCUACCUUGCGCUGUGAUCUUAUUAUGUCUGAGCCUGUUGUUUCAAAACGCUACACUUUCAGAGUAAAGUUUAUGUAGUGUUUGUAGGUUUAUGUAAAUAAAACUAUUCAACAUUUAAAUAGUGUAAGGAAACCAAAGUAAAACUUUCUUUUCCCCCAUAAUUCAUGUGUUACGUAAAAAAAAGCUUCAUUUUACUUCAGAAAUUCUAGUUCUUACUGAGUCUUAAAAAUACAAAGUAGAAGUCAAUUUUUUUAGUGCACAUACUGUAACUAGUUUGUCCAUCCUGUGCUUCCGUAGGGACAAGGUGGUGCAGAUGUUGGUGCCCUUAGAUGACCCUGGAGGUUUAAGACUUCUUAAGAAUAUCUUUAAUUCAACGACUAAAAACCAGGAUCCUAUCUCUCAUCAGGUAUGAAUCUUUCUCACCUCUGACCUCUUUAACUCUCACUCAACUCCCGACUGAAACUCACGCUCAGCAUUCGCAGUUAUUCCCCGCGCAUCGUCUCGAAGAAUAGACUGAACAAGUUAGUCAGUUGCGUACGUCUGCUCUGCGUGCAUAUUCAUUCGAGUGGUAAGUGAAUGCAUACAAAUGUGCGGUAUGUUCAUGAGUGUGUGGGUGCGUGUACGAGCACUUGAACAAGUGUGUGUGUGUAAGAGAGAGAGAGAGAGAGAGUCUGCUUGUGCUUGUGUGAUAAUGGCCAUGUCCAUCAGCACACAGAGCACGAGCCCUCUGUAUCAGGCAGAAGACACACUUAAUGCCUGUCACAGGGUCAGAUCAAGUGUGUACAAAGGAGAAUUGAAUCCUUUGAAAAACAGAAUCCAACCAAGGACAGUUUUCCCAUUUGCCAAGGAGUAAGAAAGAGAGAGAGGUGUAUAGAGAGAGGAGGAGGAGGAGGAGGAGGAGGAGGGAGAAAAUGGGAGAGAGAAAUAGUGUAGGUGCCUGCAGGAGAGAAAUGUGUUGAUCUUUUGAGAUGAAAAGCCCUACUUUCACAAGCUGCAAAAUGGAAUGGUGGUCUUCAGGGCCAAGGCCAUAAGGAGAGGAGUUUCUUUCCCCUCCAGGUCCUUUUGUUAUCCUCUCAUCAGUCCAUCUCACAGGAAGGUGGAGAUACCAAGCGAGGGCCAUGGGAGGAGGGUGGAUAUGACGGCUCUCCGCCCCACCAGGAAGAAAUGGGCUCCCCGCACGAGCUGGAAUGACAUCGAAGAAGAGGAAGAGGUGAGAUUGAAGUCUGAAAGUGUUAAUGAGGGGACGACACAAGGAGAAAAGGUUCCACCGGGCUCUUUUUUGGAAGGUGGCCCCUCUUGCAUUAUAUUCUUGACUCCCCUCCAGGAGGGCCUAAUGACGCUCUCCAAGGAGGCCGUAGAGGGAGGAGGGAGGGUGGGCUGACAUACCGGGGAGAAGCGCCCUAACACCACAGAGGAGGUAGCCAAGAAAAGGAAAGAGAGAGAAUGGUGUCCCCUCUAGAGGGACGAGUAAGAAGGAGGCUCUUUUUCUCAAGACUCUUCAUGUGCCCAUCUUCCUCUCACUUCAAUCUCUCUCUUCUUCUCCGCCUCACCUCUUCCACCUUCACCCGUCAGCCCCCUUUUUUUUUUUCUUGUUGCUCUGUCCUCCAGAGUGGGUUGGUAAUUGUAACACACACACCAGCACUAUUUUCCAUUAACUUAAGUAUGUACAAGGAGCUAAUAGCUAACAGGGCUAAAUGUGGGUUUAGUUGUGAAUUCGAGCUCCAUCACUGGCAGGAGGAAGUCCUCAGGUCGUGGUAGAGAGAAAGUCUUCAUAUACAUUCAACAUUUUACCCUCAGCUAUGGAUUUUCUUCAUCUGCAACAACUUUUUAAAAUACUUUUCUCUAUUUACUUUUUUUUUUUUUUUUAACAAAUGAUGGUUGGGACAUGCAGCACAUUUGAGUCCUUGUUUUGAUGCAUCUAUAUCACCUCUAAAAAUCAACUAUUAAGUUACUUUUAACACUCGAAUGGGACACAGAAGGAUGCUUAUUUACAUAUUCGACAGAGAAGAUUCGAUAAGUUUGACAUAAAAAAACGACAUGUGUGCAGGACAGAGUAAGAGAUAAGGUCACCGGGAUCAACACAAUGAAAGUAGGAAGGAUAGAAAUCCUCUUUGCCCAGCUCAUAAGACACUCCAAAACAAAUUUAUAAUCCACACCCUUUGUGCCCCCAACCCUUCUCCUCCCCAUGAAUGUCAGAGUAUCCAUAAACAGAAUCAGAGGGUACAGUAAGGUCUCUAAUCAGGCAAUCAGCGCUGUUUUCAGAGGUGCAACAGCGCAGCAGCAGCAGCAGCGCUGGUCUCAUCUUUGUCUGCACUUUAAUUACUUGCUUUUGCAUUUUGAUGGAGGGGGGUGACGGGGGUGAUUGUGCCUUAUCACCUAUCUCCAAGGAUAAAAGACUACCCAAUUACUUUGUUUGGAUGCUAAUGAUUGCAUUUCAUUAGUAGCCGCUCUUAGCCCUCCUCACCCAGUAAAUGAAUGAAUAUGCCGUAAUUUCAAUUAUUGGAAUUAUGAAAAUUGCUUUUAAAAAGACGACACGGGUAUCAUCAGCUUUCCACUGUGACAUAAUGCCAUUUUAAUUUCUAUAAUGGUUUUAAUUGUCAGAGGCCCCGCUGUGCAUUAAUCAUUUAAUUGUAUUGUCUUUUUCUGCUGAAAACACCUACACCCCCCAACCCCCCCCACCCAACACCCACUUACUUUCCCGCCCCAGCUUUGAAAAUACAAAUCACAAUCAGCACUAUCAUCUCCAGAGUGAUGAGAGAGGGUGAAAGCAAAACUAAGUUAAAGGCCUCAUUUAAAGUUCCAGGACGGCAGCUCAUACUUUCCUUUAUGAGGGGAUGUUGCACAAUGGUAUAUUGUACGUUGCUUGGUUACUGACGACUGGUUGAACACAACUUUUCAAAAAUGAGUACACUGAAGAAUUUAACUGUAUUUUUUAUAUUCAGAGAGUACUACAAAGGGCAAAAUGUUCUGUUAAAAUUAAGUGGAUGCUCAGUCCUUGACUCAACCUUCCCAAAGGGAACAAGUCAAUUAAUUUGUCAUCAACCAGAAAACUAGGAAAUCUAUGAUUAUUUUAAUCCUUUUAUUAAUAACACUACAGCCUGGUUUUUAAUUUGUAUAUUCAUUAAAGCAAUAAAAACCUUUCAAUGUUUUUGCCACUUCAUAUAGCAGUACAGUGUUUUCAGUGUUUCGCUAUGAGGUGUGAAAAAAUACGUUACAAUACAAUUUUUUUCCUUUGUUCGUUUAUUUUACAGGGAUAGUACAUCAGGCAUUGUUGGAGCUAAUUAAAGAGCAACCGAUGGUGUGUAUGCGGGACUUCUAGCCGUGGCUAAUUUGCGGUCGUUGUCCUUCGUUAGACAGCGGGGAAUACAGCACAUAAUACAUAAACCACAAAAAUAUAUAUAUAUAACGUUAUAGCAGGUGCAGACAGGCAAUCAUAUGUUUGAAUAAAAACAACAGCAAAGCAGACAAAAUUAACGAUACAAUUUGCUUUGAUACAAUCCAAUAAGGUAUAAGAUAUAAUUCAAUAUGGAAUAUAAUACAAGACAAUACUAAAUGCUAAAAUAAUACAAGAUCCAAUAUGAUAAGAUUUAACACUAUAAGGUAUAAUACAAUAAGAUAUGAUAAAAUUUAUAUGAUACAAUACAAUACAUUAUGAUAUAUAACAAUAUUGUACAUGCAGUAUGAUACAAUACAGUACAAUACAGUACUGUUUGAUAUGAUAUGACAUGAUACAAUACAACACGAUACAAUUUGAAAUAAGACGAUUAGACACAAACCGAUCUGAUCUCAUCGAAUCCAAUCUAAACGGGUACGAUACAAUAAGAUACGAUCAAACACAAACUGAGUUGAUCACAUCCAAUCCAAUUCGAUCAAAUACGAUACGAUACGAUACGAUACAUCACAAUACGAUACGGUACUAUACGAUACAUUUCAAUCCAAUAUGAUACGAUACGAUCCACUAUGGUACGAUACAAUAUGAUACGAUACGAUAUGAUAUUAAUAUUUCUUGUUUUCCUGUUUCUUCUUUAUAAAGCUAGUUGGUCAACAUUGGUUGUUUUUUUUCAAUGUGCUAUAUUAAUAAAGGUUGAACUGACUUGUGCAGUACAAAUCAGUAUAAUACAAUAUACCAUUUACCACCAUCUCUAGUUUUUGUUUUAGAGUAGAAAAAUACUAAUCUAAUGAUUUAUGUGUAAUGAUAUUUUUGAAGCACUUCUUUACAAAUUUAAGCAGAGAAAUACAGAAAAAUGAAAAAAGUCAAUUAAAAAGUAACGCAACAUCUCAUUCUGUUUGUCUAAGGAUGAAAUGUUUUGGUUUAAAUUUUCAUUUUCAGAUUUUAAAUAUUCCUACAGCAAAUUAUACUGAAAGGUAAAAAGAACGCAGAUAAAAAAUAGUCAAUUAUCAUAAUUGAGUACAGAAACCCAGUCAAGCCAUCCCUGUGUAGGAACAGAGGUGUAAAGUCAAACACUUAACAUGUCAAUAUAUUCAUUUUUUUUUAAAUGUGUGGAGCUUCGAGCAGCAGCAGCAGCAGCAGCAGCAAAGGUUCCAUGAGAGGAAAAACUGUGACUGACAGCCUUGAGAAGCCCUCCACUGUCUCCUCCAACGCUCCUCGAGAGGGACGAGGUCAAGUGUGCCCCCUCAAACAAACACACUCGGAUGCCCAUGCAGAACACCUUGCCAAGCCUUUUAGCCACAGCUAUUUUUCUUAAACUCAUGUCAUCAGAAGCAGCAGAGGUUUUCUCUCAGGCUUGAACUUCUGGGGGUGAAGUGGGCUGACAAUCGGGCAGGAAAAUACAUCAGCGUGAGGCGGAUCAGGUGUGCUCCCCUAGGAAUACAUUCACUGCCUCAAUCUCCAAAUGUUUUCCUUCUAUGUGGUUCAUAGAAAAGGAGAAGAAUCUGCAAGGUUACCACCAAUGUUUGUUUUCAUCAAAUUACUUUGAGUCCAGUUAGAUAGAAAAAGGGUCAGUAUGGACCCUUUCAGAUAUGCAGCUGCACUCCUGGAAAUGUCCAGACAUUGUGCUGGUCGGGUGCAAGUGUGGGGGCAAACAGCAGCAUCUGUUCAGCUCAACUUUCUCCAGACUUUUCCUGUUUGCUCAACUAAAAAUUUGCAAGGUGUCGAUGUGAGCAGAGGUGUGAAGACAGCAGGUACCAAAAAGCUUCACUGUAAGAACAAUGACAUGAUCUUAUUGAGCAGAAUUCUGCGUACUUCCCUCAAUUCACAGUCGGUACACUUCCUUCACAUCCCUAUACAUGCUGUCGGGAAAUGAAUCAUGAAUAGUCUGGGAAUUUCCAAGAGAUCAUGUAUAAGAAAGGAUGUAUAAUUUGAUCAUACGAUAUAUGCUGUUUCCUCUCAGAAUUUUUGUCCGGUGUUUUUCAUUUUUGUCUUUUUUUAUCUCGUAUCAGGUAAUCUAAAAACACAUAACAGGGGAAAAACCAGACAUUUUUGGGACAGCUGUAGUGAAGGUAGCCUGGGUCAAUCACAAAUGAUAACGAAAUAAAUGUGUUAUAUAAGUAAAGUUGAGAUAAGUUUAGUUAAUCUGAUACAGAACCCCAAGGUGGCUUGCGUCACGACAAAGGUGUUGAUCAACCAUCUUUUUAAAAUCAAACACCUAAUACGAACUAAAAAAGAUAAAAAUUACAUACACAACAUAAAUGAGCAUCAUAAGAACUAACCAUAAAGACAGAAACCAUGUUUGAGAAAAUUUUAUAAAUGUGUAUGUGUUGAUUUUGUUGUAUGGUCCCAGUUCCAUCUGUUAACAUGGGGAGGCGGGUUUAUGGCCUUUUUUUUAUUAAUAUACAGUCUUUGGACAUCAACUGUUUGUUCCUGAAGCUGAGUUUUGAAGCCUAUUAUGAGCAGUUGUCAUAUUGGGAAAAUGCUGACUCACCCUCACUUUAAGUCAACAAGCAAGAGUCGGAGAGUUGGAGUUUCCACCUGUCAGUCAGGUCAGCUAUUCCCCUCGCAAGGCCAAACUUAUCUUCGACAUAAAGCUCUGAAGUGUGUUUGGAUAGGGAUGCCUGCUAUUCAGACUGUUAUUCCUGUAUCAGGCUGUAAACAUGUUCAUAUUUGUCCACAACUCCAUAGAGAUUGCUGGAGGAGGCUGGAUUUACGACCAGUACUGCAGCCCGUCACCAGAGGGUGCUGUUCUCGCAGUGGCUUUAUCCAGCGAGGAGGCAGACGGCGUCCACUCUAUAUGCAGUCUAUGCUUCUAGCACUUUUGGAGCCAGCCUCCAGUGGACACUUGUGGAACUGCAGUUUAGACUGGACUGAAGGAGGACACUCAAUACUGACAUGUAAAAAAAACAACACAACUACUACUGCACACUAUGUUAAAAAAAAACCUUAAAAGACAGUAAGCACACAUAUUUGUAAAACUGUACAACAACUUAUGUUUCCUGUAACAGUUUAGCCAUCAGCAGAAAUUCCUCCACAUCAUGGGUGUAGCAAAACCGGAGGAUAAACUGCAUCCGCUUUAAGAGUCAACAGUAAAAAGAAGAUUUAGUCAUUCAAUAAUGGAAAUAAUGACACGUUCAAGAUUGUAACAUACACCUUAUGUGCUUUAACAGUUUGAAUCAAAGCUAUUUAUUUUUCAGGGAAAAAACUCUCAAGUUGUGUUAAUCUUGUUGAUUCUUGUGGAUAUAUUUGUUAAAUGUAUUUUUGUUGAUUCAGUAUUGUUGCAUGGGUGGGUUUUUUCCUUAUUGUGAUGAAUCUCAUGUUACUGUCUCCCAAAUAACUCACUGUGAAUCACAAACUGUUACUGAUCUUAUGAAUCGUCUGGUUUCCUCCUUUCUCAUUGUGACAUUUUUUAUCUAAACUUGUCACAUAGAGGCAUCUGUAAUGGUUUCAGUCUGUCUUAUAACCAGCUAUGAACUCUUCACAUCAGCUUAAAUUGACUAACGAUCCACAAAGUGUUCAAUAAAUCACAAAAAAACUCAAAUUACCACUCCAAAUGAGCUAACUUUGCAUGACCUUAAUUUAGAGUUUCAGCUGUUCUUAAAUGGAGACUUUGCAGAGG